UACGGAGGGUGCAAGCGUUAAUCGGAAUUACUGGGCGUAAAGCGUGCGUAGGCGGUUUGUUAAGUCUGUUGUGAAAGCCCCGGGCUCAACCUGGGAAUUGCGUUUGAUACUGCGGCGCUGGAAUGCAGGAGAGGAUGGCGGAAUUCCCAGUGUAGAGGUGAAAUUCGUAGAUAUUGGGAAGAACACCGGUGGCGAAGGCGGCCAUCUGGCCUGUAAUUGACGCUGAGGCGCGAAAGCGUGGGGAGCAAACAGG
rnacentral:rRNA from 1 species